GUUUUGCCGCACACAAAAUCGCCACCGCUUCCUCCCCCGCCGCCGCCGCCGCCUCGCAUGGCCGUCGCCACUGCCGGAACCUCUGCCAUCACAACCUCUUCCAUCUCAACAACCCCUCACUUCUCCUCCUCCCCAUUCCUCGGCCUCAAAAUGUCCCUCCGUCUCCACUCCGCCGCCUCUCCGCCACCUGUCGCCGCCGUCUCCUGCACCCCCACCCGUGCCUCCGCCGCCGUGGAGGUGGUGAACGGGCGGUCGACCGAGGCGCUGCGGCCGGACUCGUUCGGCCGGUUCGGGAGGUUCGGCGGGAAGUAUGUACCGGAAACCCUGAUGCACGCGCUUACGGAGUUGGAGACGGCGUUCCGCGCUCUCGCUAAAGACGAGGAGUUUCAGAAAGAAUUGAGUGGGAUUCUUAAAGACUAUGUUGGUCGGGAGAGCCCACUUUACUUUGCAGAACGUCUCACAGAUCAUUAUCGACGUUCAAACGGUGAAGGACCUCACAUAUAUCUGAAAAGGGAAGAUCUCAAUCACACUGGUGCUCAUAAGAUCAAUAAUGCUGUUGCACAAGCUUUACUUGCAAAACGACUUGGAAAGAAACGUAUAAUAGCCGAAACAGGAGCAGGCCAACAUGGUGUUGCAACAGCUACAGUCUGUGCAAGGUUUGGUUUGACAUGCAUAAUCUAUAUGGGUGCUCAAGAUAUGGAG
rnacentral:misc_RNA from 1 species